rnacentral:snoRNA from 1 species
UUUAAAUGAUGAUACCAAUAAAUUCAGUUCUGCUUCUGAUUACCAUUUUUUUUCAUGAAGAUAACAUUUACUUACCAUUUCAUUCAUAACUUUUCUGAAAA